rfam:Mus musculus chromosome 10, GRC primary reference assembly.
AAGUUUGAGCAGUGGUAGUAUUGUAGCCAAUGAGGUUUAUCUGAGGUACAGUUAUUGCUAAUUGAAAAGUAAAUCAAACUAUACAAUGGACAAAAAGAAAGCAUCUUCAACAAGUGGUGGUAUUCUAAAUUGAGG